CCUACGGGUGACAGCAGUCGAGAAUCAUUCACAAUGGGGGAAACCCUGAUGGUGCGACGCCGCGUGGGGGAAUGAAGGUCUUCGGAUUGUAAACCCCUGUCAUGUGGGAGCAAAUUAAAAAGAUAGUACCACAAGAGGAAGAGACGGCUAACUCUGUGCCAGCAGCCGCGGUAAUACAGAGGUCUCAAGCGUUGUUCGGAAUCACUGGGCGUAAAGCGUGCGUAGGCUGUGUCGUAAGUCGUGUGUGAAAGGGGCGGGCUCAACCCGCGGACGCCACAUGACACUGCGAGACUAGAGUAAUGGAGGGGGAACCGGAAUUCUCGGUGUAGCAGUGAAAUGCGUAGAUAUCGAGAGGAACACUCGUGGCGAAGGCGGGUUCCUGGACAUUAACUGACGCUGAGGCACGAAGGCCAGGGGAGCGAAAGGGAUUAGAUACCCCUGUAGUC
rnacentral:rRNA from 1 species